CCCCGCCGCCGGAUCCCAUCUCCUCUGGCCGCCCCGACCCUCCCCGGCCCUGCACGCCCCGCCGCCGGAUCCCAUCUCCUCCGGCUGUGCAAUGCCGCCGGAUCCCCAUCUGCCCAGCAUUGGUUCAGGAGCAAAAGUUCAGAGCGGAUGCAUUGAUGGAUUUCUGCAGAGCCUGCCGUGGAUGCAUGAGAAUAUUCUCAAUUAUGCACCGGACAACCAUCUACAAUUAUACCCUUUGCAGUGGGGCAAGAAGCCAGAGGACAUCCAUCUGAAACAUUGCCCCACCAGUUCAAAGUGGUGUUAUCUAGUUCCAGGCAUAAAUAUAUCAAGACAGCCAUGAAUGCCAAACCAGCAUCAAGGGCACCUGAAAGAAGUUGACUGCAGUGGCAGGAGGCAUAUGACUGAUUCCACCAAGAAGCACAGGCAUAUUGACAAGUAAGAUCCAUUUUUGGCCUGGGAAUGCCUUGUGUGCAAGCCAGGCAAGGAGGGGAGCAAUGGCACCGCCCAAAAAGAACCAGUUCACAGCAGAGUCCAAGGGCUGCCUGCUGGGAGGAGCUCGGUGUUGCAUAUAUUGGGGAUUGUGUCCAUCAUCCACCAUGCUGUUCCAAGGUACACAAAUGCUGAUAUCAAAGUGCCUACAACCUGUUAUUUUCAAUAACUUCACUUUUA